AACGAACGCUGGCGGCAGGCUUAACACAUGCAAGUCGAGCGCCUCGCAAGAGGAGCGGCAGACGGGUGAGUAACACGUGGGAACGUACCCUUUACUACGGAACAACUCCGGGAAACUGGAGCUAAUACCGUAUGUGCCCUUCGGGGGAAGGUUUAUCGGUAAAGGAUCGGGCCGCGUUGGAUUAGCUAGUUGGUGGGGUAAAGGCCUACCAAGGCGACGAUCCAUAGCUGGUCUGAGAGGAUGAUCAGCCACAUUGGGACUGAGACACGGCCCAAACUCCUACGGGAGGCAGCAGUGGGGAAUAUUGGACAAUGGGCGCAAGCCUGAUCCAGCCACGCCGCGUGAGUGAUGAAGGCCUUAGGGUUGUAAAGCUCUUUCAGUGGGGACGAUAAUGACGGUACCCACAGAAGAAGCCCCGGCUAACUUCGUGCCAGCAGCCGCAGUAACAC
rnacentral:rRNA from 1 species